AGAGUUUGAUCCUGGCUCAGGACGAACGCUGGCGGCGUGCCUAAUACAUGCAAGUAGAACGCUGAAGACUUUAGCUUGCUAGAGUUGGAAGAGUUGCGAACGGGUGAGUAACGCGUAGGUAACCUGCCUACUAGCGGGGGAUAACUAUUGGAAACGAUAGCUAAUACCGCAUAAUAGUGUUUAACACAUGUUAGAGACUUGAAAGAUGCAAUUGCAUCACUAGUAGAUGGACCUGCGUUGUAUUAGCUAGUUGGUGGGGUAACGGCCUACCAAGGCGACGAUACAUAGCCGACCUGAGAGGGUGAUCGGCCACACUGGGACUGAGACACGGCCCAGACUCCUACGGGAGGCAGCAGUAGGGAAUCUUCGGCAAUGGGGGCAACCUGACCGAGCAACGCCGCGUGAGUGAAGAAGGUUUUCGGAUCGUAAAGCUCUGUUGUAAGAGAAGAACGUGUGUGAGAGUGGAAAGUUCACACAUUGACGGUAACUUACCAGAAAGGGACGGCUAACUACGUGCCAGCAGCCGCGGUAAU
rnacentral:rRNA from 1 species